GGGCUUCCUCUUUCUGUGAACAAUACAGAAAGGGACCACUAAAAAAAGGUAAUGCAACCACAGAUUACACAGUGGUUCUUGAGGGUGAUGUGGGGUCUCAACCCCACCCUGCAGGAACACUUCCUCAACUUGUCAGGAGGUGGGAGGGACAGUGAAAGAACAUGGAUGACCUUCUCACUAAUGAGCAAAAUUAUGAUUCACCUACAAAGGCUUCUUCAUACAGAUUUUAAUCCAAUGAUCAGGCCCUAAAUGUUUCUCGCUACAUUUACUGUCAUUUACUGCCCAUCAGCCUCAUCUCUUUUGCCACAGUGACGUUUCAUUUCUGUGGUCUUUUGCUACUUGAUUCAAUGUAUAUUUCCCUUCUCAAACAUUUUUCAGCAUUGAUGGUCCUAUGAGACCACUCAUAUUUCUUCAGCAGAAGUGUUAAAGGCUAUUGUGCACACAUUCGCUGGAUCAGAGUAAAUGCAAGCACACACAUUUUCAGACUACUGCCAUCCAUGUGGUUGAAUUUAAUGCAGGCACGAACCCCAACUGUUCAAGGGAUGGACCCUGACUGUCCCACAGAACGAACCCUGACUGUGAUGAGGAUGGUUCUGGGAUCCUGGACAGAACCAAUGAAGACUGAAGACUCUGGACCACAGGAACACUGAAACACAUGAACAGGACACGAUGAUCACCAGGGUUACAAGCAGUGAACCUGGACCACCUGACCAGAGGACCAAUCAGAAAACAAGAUACCUUCAAAUCUUGGUGGAGGGAAGUCUUUGUUUUGUGUUGUUUGUUUGUCUGUUGUUCUCUCUGGGUUCUGAGAGUAACCAGACGUACCUACAGGCUCUCUAAUUUUCUAUUCAAAUAUUGCAGAUCAAGUACUGAAAUUUUCAGGACACUUUAUUUGCAAACCCUCAUAUAUAUUUUAGGUUGCCAGUGGAGUAAUAUUUGCAAAUGGCUUCUAUGUAUAGUGUGAAGUGAAGAGUGAUAGAAUUUUUCCUCUAGAAAGAUGUAGU